rnacentral:rRNA from 1 species
ACCGUCGACAGUCAGGUAACGAGCGAGACCCACGCCAACAGUUGCCAGCUCGUCCUCCGGGAUGGUGGGGACACUGUUGGGACCGCCUCUGCUAAAGAGGAGGAAGGAAUGGGCAACGGUAGGUCAGCAUGCCCCGAAUUAUCCGGGCUACACGCGGGCUACAAUGGGUGGGACAAUGAGUAUCGACACCGAAAGGUGAAGGCAAUUUCCUAAACCCAUCCUUAGUUCGGAUUGUGGGUUGCAACUCACCCACAUGAAGCUGGAAUCCGUAGUAAUCGUGUCUCAAAAUGGCACGGUGAAUAAGUCCCUGCUCCUUGCACGAAUUCGCCG